rnacentral:rRNA from 1 species
AGUAAUGCCUAGGAAAUUGCCCUGAUGUGGGGGAUAACCAUUGGAAACGAUGGCUAAUACCGCAUGAUGCCUACGGGCCAAAGAGGGGGACCUUCGGGCCUCUCGCGUCAGGAUAUGCCUAGGUGGGAUUAGCUAGUUGGUGAGGUAAGGGCUCACCAAGGCGACGAUCCCUAGCUGGUCUGAGAGGAUGAUCAGCCACACUGGAACUGAGACACGGUCCAGACUCCUACGGGAGGCAGCAGUGGGGAAUAUUGCACAAUGGGCGCAAGCCUGAUGCAGCCAUGCCGCGUGUGUGAAGAAGGCCUUCGGGUUGUAAAGCACUUUCAGUCGUGAGGAAGGUAGUGUAGUUAAUAGCUGCAUUAUUUGACGUUAGCGACAGAAGAAGCACCGGCUAACUCCGUGCCAGCAGCCGCGGUAAUACGGAGGGUGCGAGCGUUAAUCGGAAUUACUGGGCGUAAAGCGCAUGCAGGUGGUUUGUU